GAUGGGACAUUACAACUAUACCACAGAAAUAUAAAGGGUCAUAAGAGACUACUAUGCACAUUAUAUUUCAACAAAUUGGAUAAGGUAAAAUAAAUUGUGAAAAUGCUAGAAACAUAACACCUACGAGGACUGAAUUAUGAAUAAAUAGAAAAUCUGAAGAGGCCAAGUAAUAGUAAGGAGAUUCCAUCAGUAAUCAAAAACCUUCCCAAAAUGUCUGGGUCUAUCUGGAGUAUGCUAGCCAGUUUUCUAAGAUGCUGAGAGCUUCACUGGGGGAGGAAAUGUUCACCAACUCCCUGCAUUCCCCUCACGCUUGUUAAGUCCUGUCUCAACUGGUUUAACCCAGAGCAAUAAACCUGAGAUUGUCAUUUAAAAAAAAAAAACAAAAAAGGAUUAGACAGUUUUGCUGAUUUAUUUUUUCAAAGAAUUUAAGAAGAAUACCAAUCUUUCUGAAACUCUUCUAAAAAUAGAAGAGAAGCAGAUGGACCCUAGCUUCCUGGACCAGUAUACUGCAUUCAAGGGACUCACCUUAGACCUAAGGUGACAAAUACAGAUUGAACUGAAAGUGAAGAGAUGGAAAAAGAUUCUUCAUGCAAAUGCAAGUGGAAAAAAAAAAAAGCCAGGUACCGGCACUUAUAUCAGACAAAACAGACUCAGAAACAGACUGUAGCAAGAGACAAAGAAAAGCAUUACAUAAUGAUAAAGAGAUCAGUCCAACAAAAAGAUGUUAUACUUGUAAACAUCUACCCACCCAACACAUGCACCUAAAUACAUAAAGCAAAUAUAAAAAAGAGAGAGGUUGAUGGUAAUACAAUAAGAGUAGGGGACUUUAACCCUUCAAUCACAUCAUUGGAUCAAUUAUCCAGACAGAAAAUCAACAAGGAAACAAUGUCUUUGAAUGACACAUUGGACCAAAUAGACACAAGAGAUAUGUAUGGAACAUACUAUCUGAAAUCAACUGAAUACAUAUAUUUUCAAGUGUCACAUGCCACAUUCUCCAGAAUAGAUCACAUAUCAGGCCAUAAAAUGAACCUCAAUAAAUUUAUUUAAGAAGAUACCAUGCAUCUUUUCUGAUAUCAAUAGUAUGAAACUAGAAAUAAGUCACACACACACACACACACACAAACUGAAAAAAGCAUAAACAUAUGGAGACUAAACAACAUGAUACAAAACGACCAAUGGGUCAAUGAAACAAUCAAAAAAUAAAUCAAGGAGUACACAAAUUAAAAUGAAAACAGAAUGGUCCAAAAUGUUUGGGACACAGUGAAAGCAGUUCUAAAAGGAAAACAUAUAGCAACUCAGGCUUACCUCAAGAUGCAAGAAAAACCUCAAACAAUUUAACUUUAUACCAAAAGGAACUAGAAAAAGAAGAAUAAACAAAGCCCAAGGUGAGUAGAAGAAAGGAAGUAAUAAAUAUCAGAGCAGAAAUAAAUGACAUAGAGACUAAAGAAAUAAUAGGAAAAAAAUUAAAACAAGAGCUGGUUCUUUGAAAAAGUAAACAAAAUCGACAAACUCUUAUCCAGACUCAUUAAGAAAAAGAAGAAAGGAUCCAAA
rnacentral:lncRNA from 1 species